UUUAUGAGGAACGUGGGUUUAAAUUACUUGUGUGAAUUGAUUUUGAACCAAAUAUCCGAAAUUCAGGAUAUCAACACAAGGAAUUGCCAUGGGAGAGCAAUUGCUUUUAAUACAAAGUAACUGUUAAUCUAAUCAUAAUCACGAGUUCACAACUAAGUCUUCAGUUGGAACUUCUACAGAGUCAGAUACAGAUCAAAUAUAAUGAGAGAUGAGAAAUGAUAAAUGCCUUCAACAAUCAACAGGUAUUAUCUAUAUCACUGAAUAACUUGGAAGUUACAUGAAGCACAAUAUUUGGGAACGGCCAUGAAUAUUCAUCAGUAUUACCGAUACAAACAAGAUCUCUUAUGCAUCCAACUCCAAGUCAGUGAACCCAUUCAAUUACUGGGUUCCUGUUAUGCUAGCCACAAAAUUCAUAGCAUGAUUCUAAGUGAUAAUCAUGGGAAAACAUUAACAACUUAUCACCCAAGACCAAAUUAAAAAAUUGACACGUCCUCCGGUUUUUGCUAGAUUCUGAACUUCUUGCUGCAGGCUACUUGUACCUCAUAAAUCAUUAUGCAGAAACAGCUGCUUGAAUGAACUGCAACAGGUUGAACAAGAUGUUAUCCAAGGGUCAACUGAUACCUCCUCCAUGCUGUCAAUGUUGAACACAAAAUUAAUAAAUAUGACAUGAAAACUACCAUGAGCAGAAAAAUAGUUAAGGUCAGAAAUAUCCUUGCAUAAAUAACACAACUUUGAAUUUUGCAUACCUUAUUUAGGAGAUUAAAUGAUAAGAAAGCAAACUAUUCUAGAAAUGAAGUCACUUAAGGAUUCUUCCUUCAUUCUUCAUCAUGUCAAUUAUGGAUAACAAAUAGCAAGACUUCAUACUGAAUUAUAAGAAUCUCUAUGGAUAGAACCUAAAAAGAAUGAAGGAACAGAAAUUGAUCACAUUAUGACUUCAAAAGCAAAGAACAGGAAAAAGGAGCUCUCCCAAUAAUGCAAAAAUGGUAGCAUGAUAUCUUACAUACCUGCAGAUUCAAUUAAGUAGGAAGUGAUGCUGGCUCAAUUAGUUAAAGCAAAUCUCAAGCUUGACAAUUCUAGAUAGAUAAGAGAACUUUCCCAAAGAUUUUCAUUUUCUAUUUCGUUAAUGUUUUACAUAAAUGGUAAAAAUGGUUUGCUCUUGAUAAAAAUUGAUCAGUCAUCAUUGUAUCAGUAUUCAACCUCCUCAAAAUGGUUGCCUAUUAAUUUCCGGUCUCUACAGAUAUUUUCUUUCCUCGGGCUCCAAACAUGUGGAGCCAAAAAAAUAACAAACAUAGAACUGACUUGUUACAUAUCCUCCAAAUUGUAUUGCUGAACAAGGAUCUUAUCCCCCUUUUCCCAACCCAAAAAACUGGGUGAGCAUCCUUUGCCUGACUCCACGCCUUAAAACAAGCUGAAUACUCCAAAAAUACAUUACAAAAUCUGCAAAUCAAUCUCACUUUGUACACAUGUACAGAGAGCUACGAGCUGUUGACAACCUGCAUCUUUGCAGGUUUCUAAUUACAUCUCUAAGUAGCCAGCUCUUUCAAGUUUCUUUUCUUGAUGCCGUCCACUGCAGGGAAUAAACCAGAAAAUGCACAGUAUAUACAGGGUUGACUUAAUCUCUAGCACCAACCAAACCUGCUUGGGUUAUAGCCUCCAUUGCAUGCUGAACCAGGAGUAUGAGUCCCUCUACAUCUUGGAAGCUGAAAUCAAUGACCCUCUUAACAGAUAUAAUACAUUCUCUAUUUUGCACCUGUUCCAAAGCUACAUUAGCAGCUGAAUAAGUAUUCUGGGACUUCCUUGAGGCUUCCAUUGCAAAAUUU
rnacentral:misc_RNA from 1 species